rnacentral:tRNA from 1 species
CAGAGAAUAGUUUAAAUAAAAUUUUAAUUUUGGAGAUUAGUGAUAGGGUAAUACUCUUUCUCUGA